CGGCGGACGGGUGAGUAACGCGUGGGUAACCUACCCUGUACACACGGAUAACAUACCGAAAGGUAUGCUAAUACGGGAUAAUAUAUUUGAGGGGCAUCUCUUGAAUAUCAAAGGUGAGCCAGUACAGGAUGGACCCGCGUCUGAUUAGCUAGUUGGUAAGGUAACGGCUUACCAAGGCGACGAUCAGUAGCCGACCUGAGAGGGUGAUCGGCCGCAUUGGAACUGAGACACGGUCCAA
rnacentral:rRNA from 1 species